UACAGAUACUGCAAGCGUUAUUCGGAUUCACUGGGCGUAAAGGGUGCGCAGGCGGCCGAGUGUGUGAGGCGUGAAAGCCCGGGGCUUAACCCCGGAAUUGCACCUCAAACUACACGGCUAGAGCAUUGGAGAGGGUAGCAGAAUUCAUGGUGUAGCAGUGAAAUGCGUAGAUAUCAUGAGGAAUACCAGAGGCGAAGGCGGCUACCUGGACAAUUGCUGACGCUCAGGCACGAGAGCGUGGGGAGCAAAAGGG
rnacentral:rRNA from 1 species